rnacentral:rRNA from 1 species
AACGAACGCUGGCGGCAUGCCUAACACAUGCAAGACGAACGAGACCUUCGGGUCUAGUGGCGCACGGGUGCGUAACGCGUGGGAACCUGCCCUUAGGUUCGGAAUAACUCCCCGAAAGGGGUGCUAAUACCGGAUAAUGUCUUCGGACCAAAGAUUUAUCGCCUUUGGAUGGGCCCGCGUUGGAUUAGCUAGUUGGUAGGGUAAAAGCCUACCAAGGCGACGAUCCAUAGCUGGUCUGAGAGGAUGAUCAACCACACUGGGACUGAGACACGGCCCAGACUCCUACGGGAGGCAGCAGUGGGGAAUAUUGGACAAUGGGCGAAAGCCUGAUCCAGCAAUGCCGCGUGAGUGAUGAAGGCCUUAGGGUUGUAAAGCUCUUUUACCCGGGAUGAUAAUGACAGUACCGGGAGAAUAAGCUCCGGCUAACUCCGUG